GUUUUUUUUGUGAUGUGUAACACACGGGAAACCAAAGCUUUGACGGUAAAAAAAGGAUCGACUUUUUAAGUUUAAAAAACCAGUUACAUAUGUCUGGCCGAGAUAGAUAUAUUGGAGGAAUUUGGGAGUCUGGAUCAGCAAAAA
rnacentral:lncRNA from 1 species